rfam:Nicotiana attenuata strain TT chromosome 1, whole genome shotgun sequence.
UGGACAGAUUAUUAUAUUCGACUGUAUCUACGGCGUGAAACAGGGGAUUACACUAUUUUUAAACGAAAAGUGAAUCAAUUAACAUAAUAGACUCCU